GACGAACGCUGGCGGCGUGCUUAACACAUGCAAGUCGAACGAUGAACCACUUCGGUGGGGAUUAGUGGCGAACGGGUGAGUAACACGUGGGCAAUCUGCCCUUCACUCUGGGACAAGCCCUGGAAACGGGGUCUAAUACCGGAUAACACUGCCAUGGGCAUCUGUGGUGGUUAAAAGCUCCGGCGGUGAAGGAUGAGCCCGCGGCCUAUCAGCUUGUUGGUGAGGUAANGGCUCACCAAGGCGACGACGGGUAGCCGGCCUGAGAGGGCGACCGGCCACACUGGGACUGAGACACGGCCCAGACUCCUACGGGAGGCAGCAGUGGGGAAUAUUGCACAAUGGGCGAAAGCCUGACGCAGCGACGCCGCGUGAGGGAUGACGGCCU
rnacentral:rRNA from 1 species